UUUCCGUAGGUGAACCUGCGGAAGGAUCAUUACCAGAGAUGGCGGGCCCUGCGCCCCCGUCCCCAACCCUUUGUUGACCAAACCACUUUUGCCUCGGGGGCAGAGCGGCCUCCGCCGCCCCCGGUGGACCAACCAACCCUGUCUCUGUACGUCGGAGUCUCUUGAUGAAUGAAUGAAAACUUUUAACAACGGAUCUCUUGGUUCUGGCAUCGAUAAGAACGCAGC
rnacentral:misc_RNA from 1 species